rnacentral:rRNA from 1 species
GAUGAACGUUGGCGGCGUGCCUAAUACAUGCAAGUCGAACGUGAACCAUUAGCAAUAAUGGUGAAAGUGGCGAACGGGUGAGUAACACAUGGCUGACCUGCCCUUCAGAGGGGGACAACCACUGGAAACGGUGGCUAAAACCCCAUACGCUCGUAGAGAUUAGAGGCUCUAUGAGGAAAUGCGUGAGUGCUGAAGGAGGGGGCUGUGGCCCAUCAGCUAGUUGGUAGGGUAAAGGCCUACCAAGGCGAGGACGGGUAGGGGGCCUGAGAGGACAACCAGCCAGACGGGGACUGAGAUACGGCCCUGACACCUACGGGUGGCAG